CCUACGGGGGGCAGCAGUGAGGAAUAUUGGUCAAUGGGCGGGAGCCUGAACCAGCCAAGUCGCGUGAGGGAAGACGGUCCUACGGAUUGUAAACCUCUUUUGCCGGGGAGCAACGGGGUCCUUGCGAGGGCCCGAUGAGAGUACCCGGAGAAAAAGCAUCGGCUAACUCAGUGCCAGCAGCCGCGGUAAUACGGAGGAUGGGAGCGUUAUCCGGAUUGAUUGGGUUAAAGGGGUGCGUAGGCGGGCUGUUAAGUCAGCGGUAAAAUGUCGGGGCUCAACCCCGGCCUGCCGUUGAAACUGGCGGCCUCGAGUGGGCGAGAAGUAUGCGGAAUGCGUGGUGUAGCGGUGAAAUGCAUAGAUAUCACGCAGAACUCCGAUUGCGAAGGCAGCAUACCGGCGCCCUACUGACGCUGAGGCACGAAAGCGUGGGUAUCGAACAGGAUUAGAUACCCUGGUAGUC
rnacentral:rRNA from 1 species